rnacentral:rRNA from 1 species
UACGUAGGGUGCAAGCGUUAAUCGGAAUUACUGGACGUAAAGCGUGCGCAGGCGGUGAUGUAAGACAGGUGUGAAAUCCCCGGGCUUAACCUGGGAACUGCAUUUGUGACUGCAUCGCUGGAGUGCGGCAGAGGGGGAUGGAAUUCCGCGUGUAGCAGUGAAAUGCGUAGAUAUGCGGAGGAACGCCGAUGGCGAAGGCAAUCCCCUGGGCCUGCACUGACGCUCAUGCACGAAAGCGUGGGGAGCAAACAGG